rnacentral:rRNA from 1 species
UACGUAGGGUGCAAGCGUUGUCCGGAAUUAUUGGGCGUAAAGAGCGUGUAGGCGGCCCGAUUAGUCCGCUGUGAAAGUCCAGGGCUCAACCCUGGAAUGCCGGUGGAAACUGUCGGGCUAGAGUCCGGAAGAGGCGAGUGGAAUUCCUGGUGUAGCGGUGAAAUGCGCAGAUAUCAGGAGGAACACCAAUGGCGAAGGCAGCUCGCUGGGACGGUACUGACGCUGAGGAGCGAAAGCGUGGGGAGCGAACAGG